rnacentral:rRNA from 1 species
GAGUAAAGAUUUCGGUCGCUUUGGGAGGAGCUCGCUUACUAUCAGCUUGUUGGUAGGGUAAUGGCCUACCAAGGCUAUGACGGUUAGGGGGUGUGAGAGCAUGACCCCCAGCAUUGGCACUGAAACACUGGCCAAACACCUACGGGUGGCUGCAGUCGAGAAUCUUCCACAAUGGGGGAAACCCUGAUGGAGCGAUGCUGCGUGCGGGAUGAAGGCCUUCGGGUUGUAAACCGCUUUUGUAGGGGACGAAAUUUUUGACGGUACCCUUUCGAAUAAGAGGUUGCUAACUCUGUGCCAGCAGCAGCGGUAAUACAGAGACCUCAAGCGUUAUCCGGAUUUACUGGGCGUAAAGCGUCUGUAGGGGGUUUAUUAAGUUCCAAGUAAAAUUUCAAGGCUCAACUUUGAAUUCGCUUGGAAAACUAAUAAACUGGAGUCUAGCAGAGGUGCAUGGAACUUGUGGUGUAGGAGUGAAAUCCGUUGAUAUCACAAGGAACACCAAAGGCGAAGGCAUUGCACUGGGCUAGCACUGACCCUGAGAGACGAAAGCGUGGGGAGCAAAACGGAUUAGAUACCCGUGUAGUCCACGCCCUAAACGAUGAAUGCUAAAUGUUCGGGGAUUCGACCCCCUGGGUGUUACAGCUAACGCGUUAAGCAUUCCGCCUGGGAAGUACGGCCGCAAGGCUAAAACUCAAAGGAAUAGACGGGGAUCCGCACAAGCGGUGGAGCGUCUGGUUUAAUUCGACAGUAAGCGUGGUACCUCACCAGGGUUUGACAUCCCUUGACAGCCUUGGAAACAAGGUUUCCUUCGGGCAAGGUGACAGGUGCUGCAUGGUCGUCGUCAGUUCGUGCCGUGAGGUGUUCCGUUAAGUCGGGAAACGAACGAAACCCCUAUUGCAUGUUACAAUUUCUCAUGCAAGACUGCCCGGAUAUACUGGGAGGAAGGUGGGGAUGACGUCAGAUCUGCAUGGUCCUUAUACCCUGGGCGACACAGGCGCUACAAUGGCAGAGACAAAGGGUUGCAAAACCGCAAGGUGAAGCUAAUCCCAAAAACUUUGUCUAAGUUCGGAUUGAAGGCUGCAGUUCGCCUUCAUGAAGCUGGAAUCGCUAGUAAUCGUGAAUCAGCCACGUCACGGUGAAUAUGUUCCCGGAUCUUGUACUCACCGCCCGUCACACCAAGAGAGUUGGUAGCUCCCGAAG